rnacentral:rRNA from 1 species
CGGCUCAGUAACACGUGGAUAACCUACCCUCAGAUCUGGGAUAACUCCGGGAAACUGGAGAUAAUACCGGAUAAUCCGUGAACGCUGGAAUGCCUUACGGUUGAAAGCUUUAGCGUCUGAGGAUGGGUCUGCGGCCGAUUAGGUAGUUGCUGGGGUAACGUCCCAACAAGCCGAUAAUCGGUACGGGUUGUGAGAGCAAGAGCCCGGAGAUGGAUUCUGAGACACGAAUCCAGGUCCUACGGGGCGCAGCAGGCGCGAAAACUUUACACUGCGCGAAAGCGCGAUAAGGGGACCUCGAGUGCGUGCGCAAAGCGUACGCUUUUCAGAUGCCUAAAAAGCAUCUGGAAUAAGGGCCGGGCAAGACCGGUGCCAGCCGCCGCGGUAACACCGGCGGCUCAAGUGGUGGCCGCUAUUAUUGGGCUUAAAGGGUCCGUAGCCGGACCAGUUAGUCCCUUGGGAAAUCUUACGGCUUAACCGUAAGGCUGCCAAUGGAUACUGCUGGUCUUGGGACCGGGAGAGGCA